CCUACGGGGGGCUGCAGUGGGGAAUAUUGGACAAUGGGCGAAAGCCUGAUCCAGCCAUGCCGCGUGUGUGAAGAAGGCCUUCGGGUUGUAAAGCACUUUCAGUGGGGAAGAAAGCCUUGGGGCUAAUACCCUCGAGGAAGGACAUCAACCACAGAAGAAGCACCGGCUAACUCCGUGCCAGCAGCCGCGGUAAUACGGAGGGUGCGAGCGUUAAUCGGAAUUACUGGGCGUAAAGCGCGCGUAGGCGGUCUGAUAAGCCGGUUGUGAAAGCCCCGGGCUCAACCUGGGAACGGCAUCCGGAACUGUCAGGCUAGAGUGCAGGAGAGGAAGGUAGAAUUCCCGGUGUAGCGGUGAAAUGCGUAGAGAUCGGGAGGAAUACCAGUGGCGAAGGCGGCCUUCUGGACUGACACUGACGCUGAGGUGCGAAAGCGUGGGUAGCAAACAGGAUUAGAUACCCCUGUUAGUC
rnacentral:rRNA from 1 species